ACGCACGCUGGCGGCGUGCUUCACACAUGCAAGUCGAGCGAGGCCCCUCCUUCGGGAGGGUGUCCUAGCGGCGAACGGGUGAGUAACACGUGGGCAACCUGCCCUCAGCUCUGGGAUAACUCCGGGAAACCGGGGCUAAUACCGGAUACGACCUCCACGGGCAUCUGCGGAGGUGGAAAGUUUUUCGGCUGAGGAUGGGCCCGCGGCCUAUCAGCUAGUUGGUGGGGUAGUGGCCCACCAAGGCGACGACGGGUAGCCGGCCUGAGAGGGCGACCGGCCACACUGGGACUGAGACACGGCCCAGACUCCUACGGGAGGCAGCAGUGGGGAAUAUUGCGCAAUGGGCGAAAGCCUGACGCAGCGACGCCGCGUGAGGGACGAAGGCCUUCGGGUUGUAAACCUCUUUCAGCAGGGACGAAGCGAAAGUGACGGUACCUGCAGAAGAAGCACCGGCCAACUACGUG
rnacentral:rRNA from 1 species